CUGAAAACCUAGCUUACUCCAUUCUUAUGAAUAUACCACCCUAACACAUACUAAAUAAAACAUUUUGUACAUUAAGUAAAGGCGAUUAAAAAAUGUCUUAAAGCUAUAGAAAUUAGUACCGCAAGGGAAAAGUGAAAUAUUAAUGAAAAACCUCAAGCACAAAAAAGUAGAGCUACAAUCUCGUACCUUUUGCAUCAUGGUCUAACUAGUUCAACCAAGCAAAAUGAAUUUUAAGUUUGACUUCCCGAAACUAGGUGAGCUACUUAAAAACAGCCUUACGGGCCAACCCGUCUCUGUUGCAAAAGAGUGGGAAGAUUUUUUAAGUAGAGGUGACAGACCUACCGAACCUAGAGAUAGCUGGUUAUUCAGGAAAAGGAUUUAAGUCCUACCUUAAGUUUAUUGU
rnacentral:rRNA from 1 species